AAGACCUUGCACUUUUGGAGCGGCCGAUGUCUGAUUAGCUAGUUGGUGGGGUAAUGGCUUACCAAAGCUUCGAUCAGUAGUUGGUCUGAGAGGACGGCCAGCCACACUGGGACUGGGACACGGCCCAGACUCCUACGGGAGGCAGCAGUGGGGAAUUUUGGACAAUGGGCGCAAGCCUGAUCCAGCCAUGCCGCGUGAGUGAAGAAGGCCUUCGGGUUGUAAAGCUCUUUCAGCCGGGAAGAAAAGGUUGUGACUAAUAAUCGCAAUCCAUGACGGUACCGAAAGAAGAAGCACCGGCUAACUACGUGCCAGCAGCCGCGGUAAUACGUAGGGUGCGAGCGUUAAUCGGAAUUACUGGGCGUAAAGGGUGCGCAGGCGGUUUUGUAAGUCAGAUGUGAAAUCCCCGGGCUUAACCUGGGAAUU
rnacentral:rRNA from 1 species